UUUGAGGUGGUCGAAGAUAGUCGUUAGAUUGUAAAUCUAUGAAUAAGUAAAAAUUACUUUCUCAAAA
rnacentral:tRNA from 1 species